rnacentral:rRNA from 1 species
UACGGAGGGUGCAAGCGUUAUCCGGAUUUAUUGGGUUUAAAGGGUGCGUAGGCGGCGUAGUAAGUCCGUGGUGAAAGCCCACAGCUCAACUGUGGAACUGCCAUGGAUACUGCUAGGCUUGAGUACAGACGAGGUAGGCGGAAUGGAUAGUGUAGCGGUGAAAUGCAUAGAUACUAUCCAGAACACCGAUUGCGAAGGCAGCUUACUAGACUGUAACUGACGCUGAGGCACGAAAGCGUGGGGAGCGAACAGG